rnacentral:rRNA from 1 species
AACGAACGCUGGCGGCAUGCCUAACACAUGCAAGUCGAACGAGACCUUCGGGUCUAGUUGCGCACGGGUGCGUAACGCGUGGGAACCUGCCCUUAGGUUCGGAAUAACUCCCCGAAAGGGGUGCUAAUACCGGAUAAUGUCUUCGGACCAAAGAGCUAUCGCGUUUGGAUGGGCCCGCGUUGGAUUAGCUAGUUGGUAGGGUACAAGCCUACCAACGCGACGAUGCAUAGCUGGUCUGAGAGGAUGCUACGCCAGACUGGGACUGCGACACGGCCCAGACUCCUACGGGAGGCAGCAGUGGGGAAUAUUGGACAAUGGGCGAAAGCCUGAUACAGCCAUGCCGGGUGAGUGAUGAAGGCCUUAGGGUUGUAAAGCUCUUUUACCCGGGAUGAUAAUGACAGUACCGGGAGAAUAAGCACCGGCUAACUACGUG